rnacentral:rRNA from 1 species
CGGUGGAUGAUGUGGUUUAAUUCGAUGCAACGACGAAAACCUUACCCACCUUUGACAUGGCAGGAAUCCCGAAGAGAUUUGGGAGUGCUCGAAAGAGAACCUGCACACAGGUGCUGCAUGGCUGUCGUCAGCUCGUGUCGUGAGAUGUUGGGUUAAGUCCCGCAACGAGCGCAACCCUUGCCAUUAGUUGCUACGAAAGGGCACUCUAAUGGGACUGCCGGUGACAAACCGGAGGAAGGUGGGGAUGACGUCAAGUCCUCAUGGCCCUUAUAGGUGGGGCUACACACGUCAUACAAUGGCCGGUACAGAGGGUAGCCAACCCGCGAGGGGGAGCCAAUCCCACAAAGCCGGUCGUAGUCCGGAUCGCAGUCUGCAACUCGACUGCGUGAAGUCGGAAUCGCUAGUAAUCGCGGAUCAGCAUGUCGCGGUGAAUACGUUCCCGGGUCUU